ensembl:lncRNA
GGCAGGGGUAGUUUGAUUUAUAUUUGAGGCCAGCCUGGUCCACAUAGUAAGUUCCAGGACAGCCAGAGCUACAUAGGGAAACCCUGUAUUGGAAAACCAAAAAUUAAAAACCAAUAGCUCUCUGCCCUGUUCCUCUCACCUGCACUCUGGGCGCCUUCCCUUCUACCCUCCAGCUCCCUACACAACUUGUUCUUAUUUAUUCCUUUACAUUGUAUCACAUGCAUCUUUCCACUACAGACCUUGCUCCAGGAUGUAUUUCUUUGUAUAUCUUAGAAACAGGGCUUAGAUCUCAAAUCUGGAACAGACACUGUGGGCCAAUGACAAAAGACACAGCUAUGUUACCUGCUUGAGAACAUUUCCUUCAGCCCAGAUGGAGACGGUGACAGCAGACCAAGGAAAGCAUCCAUCCAUGGUCAGCUCGGUGAACCCUGAGCUCCCUGGUUAUUCACAGAAACAUGUGUGAGUCAGGGGAUAACCGCUGAGCAGCCCUGCCCAGUGUGCAUGUCCACUCACAACAGCUGCAUCACUGAAGACCCCUGCACAGCUCCCAGCAACCUCCUCUCCCUCAGGAACUACUGCUGGUCCAACCCCAACAGGGACUUGCUAUACUGUGUGAGCUCAGUGAAUCUGUAGCCAUUGUGUUUCCUGGGCCUCAUCAGCCUCCUCCUGGCUACAGCAGGGAAUGUUUCAGUCUGGAGGAGAAAGUCAUGCAGUCACCUCCAGCUUCUGCAGAGGUUCUGUUUGUUUGUUUGUUUGUUUGUUUGUUUAUUUAUUUCUUUUGGUUUUUCGAGACAGAGUUUCUCUGUGUAGCCCUGGCUGUCCUGGAACUCACAUUGCAGACCUGGCUGGUCUUGAACUCAGAAAUCUGCCUGCCUCUGCCUCCCAAGUGCUGGGAUUAAAGGCCUGUGCCACCACUGCCUGGCUGACCUAUUUAUUUUUUGUUCAUUAAUAAAACAUUUAUUGUGUAUGAAUGUUGGUCUGCUGAUCUGAGGAAGUCAUCAUCCUUCACAAGAUGAAGAUGGCUGCAUCAAGACAGAGAUUACCGCCAUGUUGGUAUACACACUCUUGACUGGAUAUUACGAAGCUAGAAGAGAAAACUUCAAGGGCCUGAACCUGGAGCAGUAAACAAAGGAAUUUCUAUCUCUGGCAUCUUGCAAUGUAUUUUUGAAAAGAUCUAUUAAUUUUAUGUCUCUGAGUGUUUUUUUCUGUGUGUAUUUGAUCCCUUCCAUGAGUCUGGUAUCCACAGGACAUUGAAAGCCCUUGGACUGGAGUUAUAGAUAGUUGUAAGCAACCAUGUGUGUGCUGGGAUCUGAGUCCUCAGAAAGAGCAUCAAGUGCUCUCAACCACUGGGCCAUCUCUCCAAUCCCUGGACCAGCUUUAAAAAUAACCAUAAGUCUAAAGUAGACUCAUCCCGUCAACCCUUGAAUCUUCUCUGGAGGCAGAACCAGGAUGCCAGAGUCAGGGAAGGAGAGGCGUCAUGGGCACAGCACAGACCCAACAGGACCAGAUCUGAGAUGAGAGCCUGUGGAUCCCUCCUCUGUGUAGAUCCUGCAACCCAGGGUUAGCUGGGGAAAGAUGGGAAAGAUGGGAAAGAUGGGGAGAACUCCACCGUUCCAGGGAGGCCCCUGGAAAGAGGAACUCAGGAGAGUUUAGUUCACCUGUGCAGACCACAGUGUCCUGAGAGCAGGGCCCUUGUUGUGUCUGGUGGGGACAAGAAUGGGAAAACACCUCCUAGUGCUGUCACAGGUGGGCAUCCAUGAGGAGAAUCAGACAGGAAGCACUUGCAGGAAAAGAAUAGACUCAGUUCUCCAUAUGAACUAAAGAUGCAAGAAAUAAACACAGAAGACAAAGUAAAGAGCCA